UGGGGAAUUUUGGACAAUGGGCGAAAGCCUGAUCCAGCAAUGCCGCGUGUGUGAAGAAGGCCUUCGGGUUGUAAAGCACUUUUGUCCGGAAAGAAAUCCUUGGCUCUAAUACAGUCGGGGGAUGACGGUACCGGAAGAAUAAGCACCGGCUAACUACGUGCCAGCAGCCGCGGUAAUACGUAGGGUGCAAGCGUUAAUCGGAAUUACUGGGCGUAAAGCGUGCGCAGGCGGUUUGCUAAGACCGAUGUGAAAUCCCCGGGCUCAACCUGGGAACUGCAUUGGUGACUGGCAGGCUAGAGUAUGGCAGAGGGGGGUAGAAUUCCACGUGUAGCAGUGAAAUGCGUAGAGAUGUGGAGGAAUACCGAUGGCGAAGGCAGCCCCCUGGCAAGUACUGACGCUCAUGCACGAAAGCGUGGGGAGCAAACGGAUUAAUNCCCUGGUAGUCCACG
rnacentral:rRNA from 1 species